GAUUUGUGGCUAAUUGUUCCGCUUCCAUAACGCAUAGUUUCAUACACGGGCCGUUGUAAGCGCGGGAGAAUGGAUGGCAGUCAGUCCAAAAACAUGAGCUUGUACCAGUGGAAUAGUCCCACAGUACCGAGGGGAUAUUUCCAUUCUGCCGGAGUCUCUCAGGUGUCGGACGCAAAGCCUGAACGGCCAUCAGCUUCUUUCAAACACACAGGGUGAGGGUGAGCCUGCAGCCUACCCCAGGAAGGACAGGAUGUGAGGCAGGGCACCUCCUGAGUGGGACACAUAUCACUGCGAACAUAGGAAUCAAUAAUACAGGCAUUCCAAGCACCCCGAUGCUGAGAUAUACCGGCAUUAUUCAUAAAUGCUCAAGUAAUGAAAUCCCCGGCCAGUACGCAACCUCUGCAUGUCAAGCAAACAAGGAUUGAGUCCAGGGACGCCAGAGUUUGCAUGCGGCACCAUAUUAUCGCUCUGCUAUUCUUUCGGUAUCUCGCCUUACAGUCGAGGUCUAAGGGGGCGGCUGGUUCUCCUGCCCCGGCUCUUCAGCCACAGAGGUGAGGCUGGCUGACCUCAGCAUACCGGCUAGAGAUCACUCAGUAGGUCACACUGCGCCCCCGGUCAUUUUACCCAGAUCCUUUAGUCCCAGUUUGAAGCUCCUUACUGGUAACAUUUUUCUGAGAACCUGGAAAGCGUCUCCUAACUAGGUCACAUUUAAGUAAGACAAAUUAAAUAUCAGUCCUAAGUUUGUGGGCUGAACUGUUGUUAACGACAACUGAAAGUUGAACAUAACAGUUUUAAAUCGACUCCAAAACAGCUUUGUGUGUUUUGAGAGAAUAAAUUACUUAAGGGACGUUUCUGGAAGCGACAUCUAUGGUGGUAAAGUACUGGCAAGACCCCCAGACACUGUUAACAAGAAGUUUCAGAUUCUCCCAGGAUCAGUUUGCAAAUUAACAUACUGGGGCUCACCAGAGGACGCACUGUGUGUACUCUGGCAUUUGUGCCUGUAUUUUAUCCUCCACCGUUUAUCUGUCUCUGCGUUUCAGAAUUUCAGUGUCAUACGAAACAUAGAUGACUGUGCAGUGACUGAAAACCCCGGGUCUCAUAAGCUGACAUCGGAAAUGCAGCCAAAACACAGUAACUCCAGACUGGGACGUAAUUGUAUUAUGUUUGUGCCUGGUUCCUCAGGGUCUACCAGCUGAAAGGUGAAGUGAGUUUGCCUAUCAGCAAACACAAUAUAGAUAAAUUACUGAACGAGUCAGUGGAUAUAAUUACAACAAAGGCACUAUGCCAGUCACAUGGGCGAGAAUGCGAGGGCGGGUAUCGGGGCCUUACUGAGGCCCAUGCUUGGCAGAGAUCCAUGGUGCUAUUGGGACACUCCACCUCAUCGCUCCUCUCCCAUAUUUUAUAUAAACAGAUUAAAUAUACGCACGGAGAAAGUGAGCAGGCUGGCAUGCCAUUGGUCCUCUCAUCGCCAAGCAACCCUGAGCCAAUCACACUCACCUCCAUGUGUGAUUGUUCUCCAUGUAACAGGAAGGCAGGGAACAAACAUAAAACGCAAGGAUGAUGAUGUGCAUGUAAAACAAAGAACUGCAAGUUAACCUUCACCCCCCCCCCCCCUAAAGCUGGGUUAUGACUCUGGGGAGGGGGGCACUGGACCAUUCAGGUCGUAACGUGCCAGUGCAUAUAUAUGCAAGUAUUAUACAUGCAAACAAUUUACACCUAACAUAAACGAUGAAGACAGGAAUAUACCAGCCUAUGAACGGAUUUCCAUUUUAGCAUCUCUUUAUUUUAUUAGUAAGUGGUGCAAUAGUAAAGACAAACAUAAAAAAAAUCAAGUAAGAAUACCAUUUGCAUAUUAUUAAAUGAAAAUAUUUUAAACUGGUUAGAUCUAGAAUAUAAAUUACAAGUACCAUUUAAAAAUUGCAAUGAGGAAAAUUAUACAUCGCUUUGAAGGUCACUUGUAUAAAAGUUUGUUCCCUUGGUUAGGAAAAAAAAAUCGUAAUGACGAAAAUGAAGACAAAGCAAAGAGAAGCUUUAACAGACACAUUUGUUCGCUGUAUUUAAAACUCGUACGAGGGCAAGGCACAAAAAAUGUCUCGUCAGUCAUAUGCCCAUAAUUACGGUUUAUGCAGUGCGUACGUGUGCAUGGAGCGGCACGAGGCUGUGUCACGCGAUCGCUAUUCAGUACAAUCACUAAACCUUAAUUAUUCAAAUAAGAACGUUAAAUAUCCCUAAACCACUGUCCGAGGGUAACCUCGAAAAGAAAAACGUUUGAAAAAUUAACUCUAUUUUGAAGAAACGUUAAAGGGUACAUUUAUCGGGAAUGAACAGAUGAAAGCAAAAUUAUCAAAGUUCAAAAUGUUUUGUUAAACUCAUAUAAAGUGCACCUUUUCAGGAAAACCAACACUAAAGACAAGUAUUCUAGAACGAAUUGCAUUCAUAACAAGCCGCCUGCUAUGGCUUAGUUUUGUUAAGGAUCUACGCUAUAGCCACACUCCCGGGUAAUGGGAAGGGAAGUGAGAGUAAGAAGAAGCGUGACUUCAAGCAAACCGGCCAGCGGGGCCUCAGGAACCAGGAACUCUGCGGCCAUUUUUAAUUUCAUUUACAACUCACUUUAACUGUACAUUCAUUCCGAUACAUCAGUUUUCUUUUUAAAAAGUGACACAUAACAAUAUAUAGAGGUGACAGGGGAUAGAUUUUAGUUUCACUGCCCACAAAAUUUGAGAAACAGUUAACAAUCGAACGAUGAUUUUAAAGGGUUACACACCAUGGUCAUUAGUGUUACGAUUAGAUCAUUAGGACGAAAGAUGAAAAACAUCAGUUUUACUUAUCUUAGGUUACUGUGUAGCUCUUAACUAUGAUGAGCUAAGCAUCAUUAUUCAGUGAAAGUCAGCCUACCAGAUGGAAUUACCAUGUGUUUAGUGCUAUGGAACUGAAGCACAAACCGUACACGGACCGUCCUGGGGAGGAAGAAAGUCACACUCGAGCCCCCACUGGUAGCUGUAAUUCAGCGAGGGGGUGAAAAAAAGGCCUACACUUGUACGACAAACAUCCCAUUCUCAGUCGUUUGAAGGUAGCAUAAAUGUCUUUCGUGAUCGUCGGACACCCUACAUGUGCUUCCUAUGAACUGAAAUGCAAAGCCCACUGUAAGUCAUACAUUCAACCUUUCAAUAUCAUGCAAAAAAACGUAAAAUUUGGCGGAAGGUCAUUGAAGAAACAGCAAUUUAUUCCGUAAUUAAAAGUAAAAUAUUCUCUGUAGCCACACAUUGUAAUAAAACAAUCAUAGUCGCUUCCAAUCAUUUUCUGAUGUAAAAAUAUAUGAACUAUGCAAGGCGACAGAAAGCUUAUGUUCCUGUUCCUUGAUACAAUAGUGUUAAUUGCACAGCUGUACUGCAAAUUAGUUGCUGCCCCAACAUAUCCAAAGCUUUAAUUAAGGAUCAGCUGUGUUACGAAAGGAUGGUUCUUUAAAGGAUAGUUCUCUUUGUAACCCGACAUACAAUAAAAACCGUCUUAUAAAACGGCCGUAGACCUUCCACCUAGAAACGAUUAUACUUCGAGCAGCUGCUUGGAAGACCUUUCUUUAUUGAAAAAUAAGACUGAAACUCAUAACAAUUGUAACAGUGACUAUAGGAGCGUCUCUGAAAUUAAGAAAUAUAACAUAAAUUUGCUUAUUUGGCUAUUGUCAUCGUAAAACAGCAUGUGGGGGAUUUCAGUAACAGUUACACAACUCAUCCCAGAAGAGAAUGCCUUUCCUGCAUGUUUGUGUAUUGCCAAUAUUACAAAAUAAAGGAUUAAUUUCCUCCUGGUCA